rnacentral:rRNA from 1 species
UGGGGAAUAUUGGGCAAUGGGCGCAAGCCUGACCCAGCAACGCCGCGUGAAGGAAGAAGGCCCUCGGGUUGUAAACUUCUUUUGUCAGGGACGAAUCAAGUGACGGUACCUGACGAAUAAGCCACGGCUAACUACGUGCCAGCAGCCGCGGUAAUACGUAGGUGGCAAGCGUUAUCCGGAUUUACUGGGUGUAAAGGGCGUGUAGGCGGGAUUGCAAGUCAGAUGUGAAAACCACGGGCUCAACCUGUGGCCUGCAUUUGAAACUGCAGUUCUUGAGUACUGGAGAGGCAGACGGAAUUCCUAGUGUAGCGGUGAAAUGCGUAGAUAUUAGGAGGAACACCAGUGGCGAAGGCGGUCUGCUGGACAGCAACUGACGCUGAGGCGCGAAAGCGUGGGGAGCAAACA